rnacentral:rRNA from 1 species
UACGUAGGUGGCAAGCGUUGUCCGGAUUUAUUGGGUUUAAAGGGUGCGUAGGCGGUUUUAUAAGUCAGUGGUGAAAUACAACAGCUUAACUGUUGAGGUGCCAUUGAUACUGUAAGACUUGAGUACAGACGAGGUAGGCGGAAUUGACGGUGUAGCGGUGAAAUGCUUAGAUAUCGUCAAGAACACCGAUAGCGAAGGCAGCUUACUAGACUGUAACUGACGCUGAGGCACGAAAGUGUGGGGAUCAAACAGG